GAGCUCAUUUCAGUAGCACAUAUACUAAAAUUGGACUAAUACAAAGAAGAUUUGCACGGCCUCUUAACAAGGAUGACACACAAAUUCGUGUGGAAUUCCAUACUUUU
ensembl:snRNA U6 U6 spliceosomal RNA